UACGUAGGGGGCAAGCGUUAUCCGGAUUUACUGGGUGUAAAGGGGGCGCAGACGGCAGCGCAAGCCAGGAGUGAAAGCCCGGGGCCCAACCCCGGGACUGCUCUUGGAACUGCGCGGCUGGAGUGCAGGAGGGGCAGGCGGAAUUCCUGGUGUAGCGGUGAAAUGCGUAGAUAUCAGGAGGAACACCGGUGGCGAAGGCGGCCUGCUGGACUGCGACUGACGUUGAGGCCCGAAGGCGUGGGGAGCAAACAGG
rnacentral:rRNA from 1 species